ACGAACGCUGGCGGCGUGCUUAACACCUGCCAGUCGCACGGAAAGGCCCUGCUUUUGUGGGGUGCUCGCGUGGCGAACGGGUGAGUAACACGUGAGUAACCUGCCCUUGACUUUGGGAUAACUUCAGGAAACUGGGGCUAAUACCGGAUAGGAGCUCCUGCUGCAUGGUGGGGGUUGGAAAGUUUCGGCGGUUGGGGAUGGACUCGCGGCUUAUCAGCUUGUUGGUGGGGUAGUGGCUUACCAAGGCUUUGACGGGUAGCCGGCCUGAGAGGGUGACCGGCCACAUUGGGACUGAGAUACGGCCCAGACUCCUACGGGAGGCAGCAGUGGGGAAUAUUGCACAAUGGGCGGAAGCCUGAUGCAGCAACGCCGCGUGCGGGAUGACGGCCUUCGGGUUGUAAACCGCUUUCGCCUGUGACGAAGCGUGAGUGACGGUAAUGGGUAAAGAAGCACCGGCUAUCUACGUG
rnacentral:rRNA from 1 species